UUCGAGCGUCAUUACAACCCUCAAGCUCUGCUUGGUAUUGGGUGCCGUCCCCCGGGGCGCACCUUAAAGACAGUGGCGGUGCGUCCGGCUCCAAGCGUAGUAAUUCUUCUCGCUCGGGAACCCGGUCGCGUGCUUGCCAGCAACCCCCCAAUUUUUUAAAGGUUGAUCUCGGAUCAGGUAGGGAUACCCGCUGAACUUAA
rnacentral:misc_RNA from 1 species